GAGUUUGAUCCUGGCUCAGGAUGAACGCUGGCGGCGUGCUUAACACAUGCAAGUCGAGCGAAGCGCUUUACUUUGAUUUCUUCGGAUUGAAAAGUGUUGCGACUGAGCGGCGGACGGGUGAGUAACGCGUGGGCAACCUGCCUCAUACAGGGGGAUAACAGUUAGAAAUGACUGCUAAUACCGCAUAAGACCACAGUACCGCAUGGUAUAGUGGUAAAAACUCCGGUGGUAUGAGAUGGGCCCCGCGUCUGAUUAGGUAGUUGGUGGGUAACGGCCUACCAAGCCGACGAUCAGUAGCCGACCUGAGAGGGUGACCGGCACAUUAGGACUGAGAUACGGCCCAGACUCCUACGGGAGGCAGCAGUGGGGAAUAGUUGGGCAAUGGACGCAAGUCUGACCCAGCAACGCCGCGUGAAGGAAGAAGGCUUUCGGGUUGUAAACUUCUUUUGUCAGGGAAGAGUAGAAGACGGUACCU
rnacentral:rRNA from 1 species